rnacentral:rRNA from 1 species
CACGUAGGGUGCAAGCGUUGUCCGGAAUUAUUGGGCGUAAAGAGCUCGUAGGCGGCCUGUCACGUCGGCUGUGAAAACCCGGGGCUCAACCCCGGGCCUGCAGUCGAUACGAGCAGGCUGGAGUGUGGUAGGGGAGACUGGAAUUCCUGGUGUAGCGGUGAAAUGCGCAGAUAUCAGGAGGAACACCGGUGGCGAAAGCGGGUCUCUGGGCCACUACUGACGCUGAGGAGCGAAAGCGUGGGGAGCGAACAGG